CGGCGCGAGCAGGUGCGAAAGCAGGUCAUAGUGAUCCGGUGGUUCUGAAUGGAAGGGCCAUCGCUCAACGGAUAAAAGGUACUCCGGGGAUAACAGGCUGAUACCGCCCAAGAGUUCAUAUCGACGGCGGUGUUUGGCACCUCGAUGUCGGCUCAUCACAUCCUGGGGCUGAAGUAGGUCCCAAGGGUAUGGCUGUUCGCCAUUUAAAGUGGUACGCGAGCUGGGUUUAGAACGUCGUGAGACAGUUCGGUCCCUAUCUGCCGUGGGCGCUGGAGAACUGAGGGGGGCUGCUCCUAGUACGAGAGGACCGGAGUGGACGCAUCACUGGUGUUCGGGUUGUCAUGCCAAUGGCACUGCCCGGUAGCUAAAUGCGGAAGAGAUAAGUGCUGAAAGCAUCUAAGCACGAAACUUGCCCCGAGAUGAGUUCUCCCUGAGACU
rnacentral:rRNA from 1 species